AUAAUUAUGGCUUGUUUUAGGAAAUAAUUGAGCAAGAUUUUACCAUUAAGCUCUUGACCAAUUUCAGAUUGAUUUUGCUUCCCCUGAUAUAUCUUUUAUUACGUCUGUGCUGUUGUAUAGAUUCGCGAUCUUGGUUUUAACAAGAAGAAAGAAUCGAUCACAAAGGUAAUACGUACCACCAUUCUCGCCAUAUCUAUACAAGGACGAGUACCAGGGGGAUCAAAAGCCACUAAAGAAAGUUAUAACCGAAACCGAAUGUGGCUGGGACAAAAUAAAAACUGAGCAUUUCCAAGGAUACCCCAUCAGUCAGAAUAAAUCGUGAAAUUCGAACUCACUCUCGACCUCAGGGAUUAAUAUACAGAUCGAUAGCCAGCCAACUCCUUUGGUCGCUAAUUUGAAUCAAUCGGAACUUGACACUUUUCUUGACAGAAACUCUUUCAGAGAUUGGGCUCGGGGAAUGGUUUUACCAAUGGCUUGGACAUGUUGUUUCUCUAUCAUUGUGCAUUCGGCUGCCAGGAAUCAGAGGAAUCCUUUUGGGAGUUGGGCAACAUCACCAUCAGGGGAGCGUAUCUUUCUCGGGGAGAGUCUUCUUGCAAGUGUACUACUUGCUUGGCAUGCAUCUCUGGCUGGUGACCAAGUAUUUUCCCUGUUCAAAACUCCGGUUCCUGAUGUUGGAACUUCAGAAUCUUCUGCUAGGUAAGAC